rnacentral:ncRNA from 1 species
AUAGGAACAAAGCGAAGAACCUUACCAGGGCUUGACAUGCCGCGAAUCCUCUUGAAAGAGAGGGGUGCCCUCGGGAACGCGGACACAGGUGGUGCAUGGCUGUCGUCAGCUCGUGCCGUAAGGUGUUGGGGGGUGAACCAAAUUCUCAUUGAAUUUUAUUUUUCCAUUCGAAGGGGAUCGUACAAGGUCAGCAGUACCCCCUGUGAAUACUCCGCCAGUAUGAAAAGUUCUUAAUGUUAGUCAGCACCUGCUGCUCUAG